rnacentral:rRNA from 1 species
UGGUUGUCGUCAGCUCGUGUCGUGAGAUGUUGGGUUAAGUCCCGCAACGAGCGCAACCCUUGCCAUUAGUUGCUACGAAAGGGCACUCUAAUGGGACUGCCGGUGACAAACCGGAGGAAGGUGGGGAUGACGUCAAGUCCUCAUGGCCCUUAUAGGUGGGGCUACACACGUCAUACAAUGGCCGGUACAGAGGGUAGCCAACCCGCGAGGGGGAGCCAAUCCCACAAAGCCGGUCGUAGUCCGGAUCGCAGUCUGCAACUCGACUGCGUGAAGUCGGAAUCGCUAGUAAUCGCGGAUCAGCAUGUCGCGGUGAAUACGUUCCCGGGUCUU